UGCAGUCCAAUUUGUAAGUCGCUCUGGAUAAGAGCGUCUACUAAAUGACGUUAA
rfam:Salmo salar isolate Sally breed double haploid chromosome ssa13, whole genome shotgun sequence.